GGGUAUAUUGUUCUAGACUUGUGUACCCGAGCGGACAACUCGAGCCGAGGAGGGGGCUACGUACCGGGAACCAAAUGGCCAUCCGGCUUUGUAACUUGUCCGAGCUUCUUUCUUAUUUCAGGGUAUGACACUAACAGAAGGAGGAGUCACGCCAGCGUGCACAUCCCUGAAGAUGAGAAGAGAAGGGUUUCGUAACAGUUUAUAUACAGUUCAAAUAAUAUUAAAGCGGUAAAAAGCGAUUUUUAGCACAUUAAGCUCAAACAUGUAAUAAAAUCAGAUAAUAAAUAAAAGUCAAAUAUAAAAGUUAUUCUAAGCUCGAAUUCUUGAACCCUGAACCAGAGAUUCUGGGUUCUUUAUCCCCAGCAGAGUCACUAGAGUUGUCAUACCUCCUUCUUACCUACUCCGGAAGGGUAUAAGAGAGUUUUUUCCAACUUAAAGUGACAAUCGAAACGGGAUCAUUUUAUUAAAAAAAUUCAGAGUCGACACUUGGGAUAAUUUUAUGGUGUCCCAAGUCACCGGUUCAAAUCCUGAAUCGAGAAAAAGAUUGACUCUGUAUUACAGUCUGCGAACACAGAAAUUCACGGUAAGGAAUUCUGUUAACCCGGAAAAAGGUAUUAGGCAUUCUCGAGUUCUGUGGUUCUAGCACGGUCGCUCAACUAUUAUAAUUGGCCUAUUUACUUGAUUUUAGUAUAUGUUUUAGCCUAUGGUGCAAUUUUAACUUUAUAACCGCUUUUAUUUAAUUAUUUUUUUAGGAAGAUUUCAACGUUAUUUAAAACACGUCAUGAACCACGUCACAUAAAUGCACCCGCAGUCCCCGACAUAUUUUAUCUAACAUUGUUGAGAAUUGGAUUUGGGUCACAUUGCGAGGGCCAUGGAAAUUCAAUUAAAUGGAACGCCUCGAUUUCUAAGGAUUAAAAUUAAUUAAGUGAAGGCCAUGAGUUUUGGGAUUUUAUUGUUGUAGAAAAGGGAUAGGUUUAAUCACUAGAAAUUAUCUACAACUUUAAAAUGCUUACUUUCUAUCUAUUUACAAGAUUCAGUCCAACCGAUCAUUUAUGGACUUUGGCCCAAUUGUUGUUAAAGUUGAAGCAUCAUUUUAUUCUCAGAUUCAUGAUCAUCCUCGUUCAAAGAAUUCAAAAGCUAAUCUCCAAAGAUAAUGCUACGUAAUAGAGAACAAUCACUAAUGAACUAAUUUAUCUACUCAAUUUAUCCUCAUCAAUCAGUUAAAAUAAUACAUAAAGAAAACUCAAAUAACAUCAUACUCACAUCGAUUUCUCCAAAAUUUAUAAAUAAAUAAUAAUAAAAAGUAAAGAAAAGCACACUCUAAUGUUCCCCCAAUUUCACAUCAAAAUCUUCACAUUUAUCAAAGCUUAACGUUAAAGCUUGUACAAACAUAUGGUAGGAAACGCACAUUGAUUGACUUAAUUUAAUUUAGAAAAUAUCGCUUUAAAGCUUCAGAUUCAUUUAACUUCAAGUAAAGAGCAAACUCGAACAAGAAAAUAAGUAGACAAACGCUACAAGAUUAUGACACAACUUCUAUAUAUAAAAAUAAUUACACCAGAUCUUGGGAAGGGAAAGUACCUAGAUGGCAAAAAUUUGAGCUAAAGCAGUCACGUAAAGGCGAAGGAAAGCUGGGGCUCAGCGAUGAAGCAGACAACGACAACAACAAAUCUGCCCGGAAAACUCAGAGUACAACCUUCGAUGAACUCGGAACUCGCCGGAAAAUUCCAAUUAGACCAAAAAAAAACUCGUCAGAACUUGGACCUCUCGUUUUUCAUUUCAUCUUAUUUUUUUGCCUUUAUGCUAUGUAUUCUGUUUCUAUUUUUAUUUUUAUUUUUUGUUUUCUGAUCUUAUAAGUAAAGAAAAAGAAACUGAAGAAACUUGCUUAAUUGAGGAAGUGGCCGAUUUUUUUUGUCCCCCUCGAUUACUGUUUGUGUCUUUGUUAUAUAGUAAAGGUGUAUAUGAUAUAUAUUAAAAAUAGAACCUAUAAUGGAGGAAGGCUCAUUACUGUAUCAGAUUUUCAUGCUUUCAAUAACUUUCAAAAUAAAGUAAUUGGUUGCACUUGUCGUAUAUGGUAACUUCUAUAGCUCAAGUAUUUUGAUUCCUCACUUCUCUUGUGUGUAAGUUGCGGCUAGGUUGGGGGGUGUGAGGGAUCUGCCAUUCUUGGGUUGGAGGAGGCAGCAGGUUUUGGUGAAUGUCUGUAUCAGUGAAGACAAAUCGAGAAGAAGAAGGUAUCCCGCAGGAGCAGAAGUCGCAAAAAAGCGUCGUUUGCUCUCUAGGGGAAGGGUCUAUGAUCUGAUUUUUUUGGUUUCUAAAAUGUCUUUUUAUAUGUAAGGGUAGGGUAAAGGGUAAUGGGUAUUUGGGUAGGGAGAUUGGGCUUGGGUUGGACAAAUUUUGGUGCCAUUUAUUUGGGCUGGUUUUGGCUUUCAAAUGGCCCAAGCUCCGAAUUUAAA
rnacentral:lncRNA from 1 species